rnacentral:rRNA from 1 species
UACGGAGGAUGCGAGCGUUAUCCGGAUUUAUUGGGUUUAAAGGGUGCGCAGGCGGGCUUUUAAGUCAGUGGUGAAAUCUUGGGGCUUAACCCCGAAACUGCCAUUGAAACUGGGAGUCUUGAGUAUGGAUGAAGUAGGCGGAAUUCGUUGUGUAGCGGUGAAAUGCUUAGAUAUAACGAGGAACCCCGAUUGCGUAGGCAGCUUACUAAGCCAUAACUGACGCUCAAGCACGAAAGCGUGGGUAUCAAAC